AAACAGGAUUAGAUACCCUGGUAGUCCACGCUGUAAACGAUGUCGAUUUGGAGUUUGUUGCCUAGAGUGAUGGGCUCCGAAGCUAACGCGAUAAAUCGACCGCCUGGGGAGUACGGCCGCAAGGUUAAAACUCAAAUGAAUUGACGGGGGCCCGCACAAGCGGUGGAGCAUGUGGUUUAAUUCGAUGCAACGCGAAGAACCUUACCUGGUCUUGACAUCCAUAGAAUUCUGCAGAGAUGUGGGAGUGCCUUCGGGAACUAUGAGACAGGUGCUGCAUGGCUGUCGUCAGCUCGUGUUGUGAAAUGUUGGGCUAAGUCCCGCAACGAGCGCAACCCUUAUUCUUUGUUGCCAGCGAUUUGGUCGGGAACUCAAAGGAGACUGCCGUUGAUAAAGCGGAGGAAGGUGGGGACGACGUCAAGUCAUCAUGGCCCUUACGACCAGGGCUACACACGUGCUACAAUGGCGUAUACAAAGGGAAGCGAAGGUGCGAGCUGGAGCGGAUCUCAUAAAGUACGUCUAAGUUCGGAUUGGAGUCUGCAACUCGACUCCAUGAAGUCGGAAUCGCUAGUAAUCGUAGAUCAGAAUGCUACGGUGAAUACGUUCCCGGGCCUUGUACACACCGCCCGUCACACCAUGGGAGUGGGUUGCACCAGAAGUAGAUAGCUUAACCGCGAGGGGGGCGUUUACCACGGUGUGAUUCAUGACUGGGGUGAAGUCGUAACAAGGUAACCA
rnacentral:rRNA from 1 species